UACGGAGGGGGCUAGCGUUGUUCGGAAUUACUGGGCGUAAAGCGCACGUAGGCGGACUGGAAAGUCAGGGGUGAAAUCCCGGGGCUCAACCUCGGAACUGCCUUUGAUACUGCAAGCCUGGAGGCCGGAAGAGGUGGGUGGAAUUCCUAGUGUAGAGGUGAAAUUCAUAGAUAUUAGGAAGAACACCGGUGGCGAAGGCGGCCCACUGGUCCGGUACUGACGCUGAGGUGCGAAAGCGUGGGGAGCAAACAGG
rnacentral:rRNA from 1 species